GGGGACGAUCUGGAUUCGACGACGGUGACGAAACCUGAGGUGCAUGCCGAGAGGGUAGUGACUCUCGUAAAACAAUCGCUGCAACUUAUAUAGUUGCUAACGACGAAAACUACGCACUGGCUGCCUAAAUCCAGCCUACGUCUGAUAUCGGAUGCCUGUAAACGGGACUCAGACGGCACGCAGAACAGGAUCGCGGCAAAGUUUGUCUGGAACGGCGCUGCUAAAACUCUUACAGACUCGCCCUCCUCGCCCUGAUCGUCGGGCCGACUUGGGUUAACUCAGUAGACGAAUCUAAGCAUGUAGAGCCAAUGGCAGAGUGCUGGCGGACGCGGGUUCAAUUCCCGCCGUCUCCACCA
rnacentral:tmRNA from 2 species